AUUAGAUUAUAGGUCAGCGGCUGCUGUCUGGCUCUUGUGUAACGGUCGGUGCGCGCGCUCUCGUGUGUGUGUGUGUGUGUGUGUGUGUGAAUCAUAGUUCACCUUAGUUGAACUUGUGUGAUCUAGUUCACGGUAGUGUAAGGCUUUUCGUCCGUUGGCUGUUGGGAGGAUGAACAUCUCUUCUUGAUCAUUACAAAAACCAAACUAACGUUACCCUUAAAAGACGCAGUGUGUCGUCAUGUUUUUUGUGUGUAGAUGAGAAGGUUUUGAUAGUUUUCUCGCAGACAGACUGCAUUAACGGUCGUGUGUAAACCUCCGCGCGACAGAACAUUUCAGCCUGAACUUGGAGAAUAAAAACGGUCGUCGUGAUUUACCCAACGACUCCCUUCAAGUUUCUUUUGUUUGUUUGUUUUGCCGUUGGCCGUUUCUAACGACAGCUAAAGGAGCACGAAUGACCCAGACGAGGCUGAGAAGCGGACUCAAGCGAAUAAUUGGGGCUUGAAAUGGCGAAAAUCUCUUUCGGACUCAACCCAGAGAUGGAAUGUACGUCCUCCUUUUAUCUGGUUCGGGGAUUUUGGAUGACACUGACAGACAUGUGUGUUGCAGGACCACGCAGACCUUUACUGUACUGUAGCACAGCUGCCCCACCCUUGCGAAAUUAUGCAGUCGUAUCCCGAUGGAUCCGAAACGCAGACGCUAAUCCUUACUGAUUUCAUCUGGAAUUAUUGAGCUCUUGAACUUUUUUCUCUUAUGGACACAAAAUCAUUUUAACCUUAUGUGAUAUUGUUGCUUCAAAUGAUGGUACUAUUACUGCUCUAGAAAAAGCUGUUUUGAAACAUCAUUUUCUUUUUUUCUGUAGAAUUGCAGAUUCUUUAAAAUGUUUUAGUUUGCAGUGUUAGGAAAGGGAUGAGAAAAUCUUAAACAAUACCAUACCAGGUGCUUGGGCUUAUGAUUAAUAAAUGGAAGAGAAAAACAGUUGUCCUCAAAUUAACUGACAGGACAAAGACAACAGCAAACAUAAAUAUAGUUCGCAUCGCAAAUUUUCUCAGAGCAAGAACAAGGUGUGUGUGUGUGUGUGUGUAAUUAUGGCAUAUUCCAAGUUUGUGGUAAAAUUGAAUCACACCCACAGAAUCAGUUAAAACAUGUUGUAGUAAAUUAUCAGUUUUUAUUUCUUUAAUGUAAUCCAUCAUAACUCUCAUUUAUUUGUAUUAUUAUAGUUUGAAAGACACUUUCAUUUCAGACAGUAACAGUGAAGAGUCAAGGUAGUUAUCUUUUUAUUUAUUUAUUUCUCAUUCAUUUUAUUUGUGUUAAAUAAUAUUCAAAUAUGAAUUAGUUUAAAAUAUGAUCACUUUUCAGUUGCUGGUUUUAAUGCUUUAAUUAUAAAAAAAACAACUAGUGCAAUUCUUUAUAGACCAAUCUUAUACGGAAUCUUGUCUUUAAAUGAACAAAUCUUUUAAAUGAAAUACAUUAUUAUUAUUGUUGUUGUCAGUUGGUGUCAGAGAGCUCCGCUCAUGUUUCUGUCAGUGCCGCGGCGAGCCGUAAGGGUCAUUAAGCGUCUUCUGACGGCAGGCAGAGGUCAAGGGAGUUAAUCGGAGUUGAUGGAGGGGCCCUCUGAGUGACAGUCCUAAGGGGCUCACCUCUUAAUCUCUGUUUGUCUGUGUUUUAGUACUCUUUACCUACACAAAGCAAACAGCACCCUCCCUCUCAAUGGGAACCAGCCUGCUCGCAGUCUAGCACUUCUGACCUGUGGGUCGUGCCCUUUGUUCCUCUCUCUACAGAGGCUGACCUCAGAUUUCACCUCUGUAAUUGAGGAGUCCUGUAGACACGUGCCCAGGGGGGCCCAGGAGAGACCACCACCGCUGCAAGCUCACUGCUACCUCUGCGUCGGAGGAAAAGGGUGUCUGAAAAUGACGUUUCCUAUGAGUCCCAAGCAAAAAAUACAUGUUUGGCCGAUCAGAUCUUUCAGUGGUUUACUGAUAAAUUUCCCAGCUGUUUUUUGUCAUGUUGUGUUAAAUGUGGCUUUAUUGGCUUAAACAUCUUCUAAACAUACACUGGGCCUUAACAAAUCCACUUGGUCAGGUUUAUGUGGGUUUGUUUUUAUUAAACAUACAUUUUUCUCUAAAUAUAUAUGUAUACUCUAGAUAUUUUGCGGUAGAUUUAGACACUGAUGUACAUUUCAGAUCUUAAAAAUGUUGCUUUUUCUGUGGAACUCCAACUCUCAUUUGAUGAACUAGGCCACCAACCAGGAUUGAAAUGCGUCUCACUUCUUUAAUCUGUGCCAGGCUUGUCUUGUUGUGUUUUAAUUAAUUUUUUUGCUUCAUGGGAGUGUUAUGUUGUCUAUAUUGAGACGCUGUUGUUUUUGUCUGUUUGUUUUUUUUUUUCUCUUCACUGAUGAAAAAUUGCAGGUUAAUGAAGCUCAUGUUAUUAGUUUUUACUCAUUGCCCAAUCCUCAAAAGCAUAAUUAUGGGUGGGAAAUUGCAGUUCAUUGAUGUGAAUCUGCAACACAUGGCUGCAAAUUCCUUAGGAUGCGUUUUUAAGUUGUUCUUGUCUGAUAGUGUUGGAAACCCUGGUGUUAAUUUGGGAGGAAAAGAAAAUAUACUCUAAAGGUCCUGCAGACAGUUAUUAGGAACUGAGAUCUCAUGAAUGGCUUGUUAAUCUUCAUUUAAUUUUUUAUUUUAGUUUGUGCUUUUGGCAUCCUCUUCAAUCGUAUGUUUAGAUCUGAUAGGGUUAAGGUGCAUUUUAGUAUUUAGUAAGGUAUUUUUUGACACAUGAAGUAAUGUUUGACAUAAUUUUCUCUUUGCUUCCGUUUAAUGUGUGUAUAUAUAUAUAUAUAUAUAUAUAUAUAUAUAUAUAUAUAUAUAUAUAUAUAUAUAUGACAUAUUUUUUGUUAUAUAUCUAUGAAUCGCAUUGGAUGGACUUAUUAAAUGCGGAAAAGUGACCAGCCCGCUGUGCUUUUUAACCUUGUGAAGACUCACUAUAGCCGUUAUCGCUCUUUGGUAACUCUAACCCCAGAACACAUACAUGCUUUUAAAUCACACGAGAGUCUUUUUAAAAUGAUCUCAGCGAUGGUGCAUUAAAGUGCUCUGAGGUUGAGCCCUGAAAAGUACCAUAAAGAGUUUGUUUUGAUUGGCGUUUGAUCAUAGUCUCUGAGCCUUGUGAAGGAUGGGGCCUUACAGAACAGCUCACUGUUUGGGAGUUGGCAGCCGACCCAAAACCAAAAUUGUAUCCUCAAAUGAACUUUAAUGCAAUGUACAACACAACACAUGCUCCAAGUCCCGACUCCCUGCUCGCAGGUCCUGUAGUAAACAAGCAAGUAAAUGAACGCCUGAGAAUCAGCAUCAGAGAAUGAGAAAUAAAACAGAUAAUGUGUUAUAAGAAAA